GGAUUAAUGUUAAUUGGUUUAACUUUAUACUCCCCCGAAGUAUAUUAUUGCAGUUCGAUUCUGCUAUAUUCUA
rnacentral:tRNA from 1 species